rnacentral:rRNA from 1 species
AGUGAACGCUGGCGGUAGGCCUAACACAUGCAAGUCGAACGGCAGCACAGUAAGAGCUUGCUCUUACGGGUGGCGAGUGGCGGACGGGUGAGGAAUACAUCGGAAUCUACUUUUUCGUGGGGGAUAACGUAGGGAAACUUACGCUAAUACCGCAUACGACCUACGGGUGAAAGCAGGGGAUCUUCGGACCUUGCGCGAUUGAAUGAGCCGAUGUCGGAUUAGCUGGUUGGCGGGGUAAGGGCCCACCAAGGCGACGAUCCGUAGCUGGUCUGAGAGGAUGGAUCACCAAAAUUGAACUUGAGCACCGGCCCAGCUCCUUAGGGAAGGAACAAGGGGGAAAUAUUGGCAAUGGGGGGAAAGCUUGACCAAGCAAGCCGGGUUGGUGAAGAAGGCCUUCGGGUUGUAAAGCCCUUUUGUUGGGAAAGAAAAGCAGCAGGUUAAUACCCCGCUGUUCUGACGGUACCCAAAGAAUAAGCACCGGCUAACUUCGUG